rnacentral:misc_RNA from 1 species
UGGAAGUAAAAGUCGUAACAAGGUUUCCGUAGGUGAACCUGCGGAAGGAUCAUUAAAAAAUAGGACUUCCAAUGGAGUUCAUUAAUAAUCCUACCCUUUGUGAAUUUGUUUGUUUGAAAUAAUUUUUUUUCAAAAAAAUUAUUGAAUGUCUUCCCUGUUUUUGGUUGAAGCGUAAAAGUGGAGACCAAGCAGGGGAAUGGCAAACAUUAAUUUUUUUGAAAAAAGACCUUUUUUUAAAAUUAAACUUUUUGUAUUCAUUUGUCUAAAAUUAUUUUUAUAAUAUAAAAACAACUUUUGACAAUGGAUCUCUUGGUUCUCGCAACGAUGAAGAACGCAGCAAAAUGCGAUAAGUAAUGUGAAUUGCAGAAUACGUGAAUCAUCGAAUCUUCGAACGCAUAUUGCACUUUUUAGUUUACUAAAAAAGUAUGUCUGUUUGAGUAUCAGUAAAAUAUUCUCAUAAAAACUUUUUUUGUUUUUCAUGGUUAUGAGUGUUUUACAACGAUAAACAAGUUGUUUCACUUUAAAUUCUUUGAAAUUUAAAAAAUCGUUAAAACUAAUUUUAAAAUGAUUUUUUAAAAUUGGAUAAAAUUUUCCCGUAAAAAAGGAAUAACCUAAACAAUUUUAAAAAAUUUAAAAUUGGUUGAUUUUUUUAAAUCCCAAAAGGAAAAAAGUAAAAAUUAACUUGAUCUCAAAUCAGAUAAGAGUACCCGCUGAACUUAAGCAUAUCAAUAAGCGGAGGAAAAGAAACUAACUAGGAUUCCCUCAGUAACGGCGAGUGAAGCGGAAGAGCUCAAAUUUGAAAUCUUCAAGGUUCUACCUUGACGAAUUGUAGUUUAAAGAAGUGUUUUCUGUUGGAAUAGUUUGGUAUAAGUUCUUGGAAUAGGACAUCAUGGAGGGUGAGAAUCCCGUAACGACCAUUUAUUCCAGCUCUGUGAUACACUUUCAAAGAGUCGGGUUGUUUGGGAAUGCAGUCCAAAAUGGGUGGUAAAUUUCAUCUAAAGCUAAAUAUUGGCGAGAGACCGAUAGCGAACAAGUACCGUGAGGGAAAGAUGAAAAGAACUUUGAAAAGAGAGUUAAACAGUACGUGAAAUUGUCAAAAGGGAAGCGUUUGACACCAGUGUUGUUUUCUCGAAAAUCAAUUAAAAAUGGCUUGAUUUUGUGUAAGGCGACCUUAUCAGCGUUUUGCACUCUUUUCUUGUCCUUUUUUAAUGCACUUUUUGUUUAACAAGUCAACAUCAAUUUCUUUUGUUGUAAAAGAGUCAUUGGAAGGUGGCUUUCUUUUCGGAGAAAGUGUUUAUAGCCUUUGGCUUCUGCAAUCGGAGAGAUUGAGGUCUGCAGCGUAGAUCCUUCGGGGUUAGAUGCAUUAGUGCUAAGUUAUAGCCUUUCAUAGACAACUUGUUGACUAUGAUCAGUCAUGUAGCUUACUCGCUGAUGUUAUUUUACCUACGCUUAGGAUGUU